AUCGCUUCUUGGCCUUUUGGCUAAGAUCAAGUGUAGUAUCUGUUCUUAUCAGUUUAAAAAAAUCACUGACCACAAUUGAGCAUGAGUUAUUCCACUGAUGCAAGAGUGGUUUAAUAUUUACAAAUCAAUUAGUGUGGUACCUCAC
rnacentral:snRNA from 1 species